AUUGAACGCUGGCGGCAUGCUUUACACAUGCAAGUCGAACGGUAACAGGCCGCAAGGUGCUGACGAGUGGCGAACGGGUGAGUAAUGCAUCGGAACGUGCCCAGUCGUGGGGGAUAACGCAGCGAAAGCUGUGCUAAUACCGCAUACGAUCUAUGGAUGAAAGCGGGGGACCGUAAGGCCUCGCGCGAUUGGAGCGGCCGAUGUCAGGUUAGGUAGUUGGUGGGGUAAAGGCCUACCAAGCCGACGAUCUGUAGCUGGUCUGAGAGGACGACCAGCCACACUGGGACGGAGACACGGACCAGACUCCUACGGGAGGCAGCAGUGGGGAAUUUUGGACAAUGGGCGCAAGCCUGAUCCAGAAAUGCCGCGUGCAGGAAGAAGGCCUUCGGGUUGUAAACUGCUUUUGUACGGAACGAAACGGUCUGGGUUAAUACCCUGGGCUAAUGACGGUACCGUAAGAAUAAGCACCGGCUAACUACGUGCCAGCAGCCGCCGCCGUAA
rnacentral:rRNA from 1 species